UACGAAGGGGGCUAGCGUUGCUCGGAAUCACUGGGCGUAAAGCGCACGUAGGCGGCUUUCUAAGUCAGGGGUGAAAUCCUGGAGCUCAACUCCAGAACUGCCUUUGAUACUGGAGAGCUUGAGUCCGGGAGAGGUGAGUGGAACUCCGAGUGUAGAGGUGAAAUUCGUAGAUAUUCGGAAGAACACCAGUGGCGAAGGUGGCUCACUGGCCCGGUACUGACGCUGAGGUGCGAAAGCGUGGG
rnacentral:rRNA from 1 species